rnacentral:tRNA from 1 species
AGUAAGGUGCCUGACAAAUAGGACUAUUUUGAUAGAAUAGAAUAUGUAAUAAAUUACCCUUAUUA